GUCGCACUGUCUCCCUCUCCCAUUCAUUCUUCCGAAGUUGGAUCGCCAGCAUGAAAACUGUCAUUGCAACAACUGUUCUCGUGGUUGUGAUGGGGGCAACUUACGGCUUCUCUGCCCCAGGGAGGCAUGGCUCUGCCCUCCGAGCUGCUAGGGAGGCAAAGGAACAGCCCCUUGCUCGAAUUAAGAGGGAUAUGCAUGAACAUAAUGAAACCAUUGGCACGAAGAGGAGCAUCAUGAU